GGGGUUGUGGCUCAGUGGUAGAGCGCUUGCCUUAUACGUGAGAGACCCUGGCUUCGAUCCUCAGCAGCACAU
rnacentral:tRNA from 1 species